GCUCGAUGAUGAUGCCUUUGGUCCUGAGCAAACUGUAGUUGGUACUUCAUUUGCAUGGCUGAUGGAAGCCUUUUUCAAGACGGGGCUGAGAGCAGC
rnacentral:snoRNA from 1 species